AGAUUGAACGCUGGCGGCAUGCCUUACACAUGCAAGUCGAACGGCAGCAUGACGUGUAGCAAUACACGUUGAUGGCGAGUGGCGAACGGGUGAGUAAUAUAUCGGAACGUGUCCUGUAGCGGGGGAUAACCUAUCGAAAGAUGGACUAAUACCGCAUACGCUCUACGGAGGAAAGCGGGGGUCGCAAGACCUCGCACUAUAGGAGCGGCCGAUAUCGGAUUAGCUAGUUGGCGGGGUAAAAGCCCACAAGGCGACGAUCCGAGCUGGUCUGAGAGGAUGAUCAGCCACACUGGAACUGAGACGACGGUCCAGACUCCGUACGGGAGGCAGCGAGGUGGGGUAAUUUUGGACAAGUGGGCGCGAAGCCUGACUCCAGCCAGUGCCGCGUGAGUGAA
rnacentral:rRNA from 1 species